GGAGCGAUGGAGCCCACGGGGCCGGAGCCCUCGCUGUACACGGUGAAGGCCCUGCUCAUCCUCGACAGCCUCGGGCAGCGCCUCCUGGCCAAGUACUACGAUGGCACCUUCCCCACUGCCCAGGAGCAGGCGGCUUUCGAGAGGAACAUCUUCAGCAAGACCCACCGGGCGGGCGGUGAGAUCGUCUCUCUGGAAGGACUCACAGUGGUCUACAGGAGCAGCGUCGACCUCUUCUUUUAUGUGGUGGGGGGCUGCCAGGAGAAUGAGCUGAUGCUGUCGGCCGUGCUCGCUUGCCUCCUCGACACCCUCAGCCACCUCCUGCGGAGGGAGGUGGAGAAGCGCUGGCUGCUGGACAACAUGGAGGGGACGUUCCUGGUGGUGGAUGAGAUCGUGGACAGGGGGGUGAUCCUGGAGAGCGACCCUCAGCAAGUGAUCCAGCGGCUGAGCCUGCGGGCCCCUGAGCCAGCACCGUACGGCUUCGUCCUCUUCGACUACCUGGCAGGCAGCUCAGAGCGGAGGGACGUGGGGGACGACGGUGGCCACGAAUAGGUGGCCCUGAGGAGGUUGAUGACAAACCUCUGUCCCAGCAGAGCAUGUCGCAGGUCCUGCAGCCCACCAAGGAGCACAUCAAGCCAUCCUCACUGACGUGACGGCACCAGGGUCUCCCCUCAGAGGAGCUGGUUGCAAAGGUGGGACCCCAGCACCGGGGGACACCGGGACACACGGACCUUCCCCAGUAUCCCCCCACUCCAACCCCAGCCCAAACCCUGCACCCCAGCCUGCAUCCCUGGGCCAGCUCCUCCUCAGCUGCACCACCUCCAGAGGCCCCUUCCCAGGUCUUGUAUCCACCCCCCAGCGUUAAUAAAAUCAAGGGAAAAAUUAAGCACUAAUGAAAAAUUGAUUCACCGUUCCUGCUCACUCCCAGCAGAAGCUGGCCACAAAUAAAGUUUUUUCCCCCC